GAUGAACGCUGGCGGCGUGCCUAAUACAUGCAAGUCGAGCGAACAGAUGAGGAGCUUGCUCCUCUGACGUUAGCGGCGGACGGGUGAGUAACACGUGGAUAACCUACCUAUAAGACUGGUAUAAUUUCGGGAAACCGGAGCUAAUACCGGAUAAUAUAUUGAACCGCAUGGUGCAAUAGUGAAAGACGGUUUUGCUGUCACUUAUAGAGGGUUCCGCGCCGCAUUCGCUAGUUGGUAAGGUAACGGCUUACCAAGGCAAGGAUGCGUAGCCGACCUGAGAGGGUGAUCGGCCACACUGGAACGGAGACACGGUCCAGACUCCUACGGGAGGCAGCAGUAGGGAAUCUGCCGCAAUGGGCGAAAGCCUGACGGAGCAACGCCGCGUGAGUUAUGAAGGUCUUCGGAUCGUAAAACUCUGUUAUUAGGGAAGAACAAAUGUGUAAGUAACUAUGCACGUCUUGACGGUACCUAAUCAGAAAGCCACGGCUAACUACGUG
rnacentral:rRNA from 1 species